rnacentral:rRNA from 1 species
CGCGGCCUAUCAGCUUGUUGGUGAGGUAACGGCUCACCAAGGCGAAGAUGCCUAGCUGGUGUGAGAGCAUGACCAGCGCCACUGGGACUGAGACACUGCCCAGACUCCUACGGGAGGCUGCAGUCGAGAAUCUUCCGCAAUGGACGAAAGUCUGACGGAGCGACGCCGCGUGCGGGAUGAAGGCCUUCGGGUUGUAAACCGCUGUCAGGGGAAACAAUCACUGAGUGAUCCCCAGAGGAAGCACGGGCUAAGUUCGUGCCAGCAGCCGCGGUAAGACGAACCGUGCGAACGUUGUUCGGAAUCACUGGGCUUAAAGGGCGCGUAGGCGGGUGGUCAAGUCAGCGGUGAAAGCCUCCAGCUCAACUGGAGAAGUGCCCCUGAUACUGACCGUCUUGAGGGAGGUAGGGGCAGAUGGAACUUCCAGUGGAGCGGUGAAAUGUGUUGAUAUUGGAAGGAACGCCGGUGGCGAAAGCGAUCUGCUGGACCUCUUCUGACGCUGAGGCGCGAAAGCUAGGGUAGCGAACGGGAUUAGAUACCCCGGUAGUCCUGGCCGUAAACGAUGGGCACUAGCUAGGGGUCUCCCUGUGGGAUCCCUGGUGAAGCAAAUGUGAUAAGUGCCCCGCCUGGGGAGUACGG